AGGAAGGAUGCCAGUCUGGUUACCACGGUUGCAUUGACCCCUUCCCAGAACAAGGGGCUUGACCUCUGUCCUAGCAAGGAGGUGUUCCUAGCUUCUGAUUUCAUCCCUGAAGUCUGGUUAAUCUUUGAGGCCUCAUCAUCCAGUGAAUUGGAAUUCACAGCCCUCCUCCUAUUGAAGAAAGCCCCUUGGGACUUCAGUAGGAACCUCCUCUGGAAGCUUUCCCUGAGCACCCAAGUCUGGACCAGGUACCCCAGAGCCCAGAGUCCUCUGUUCCUCUCCUGGGGAGCACCCCUAUGCUGCUCUGCAACAACAGGUGGACUCAUCUGUCUCCAUCACACUGUGGCCACAGGAUACAGGUACAGAUACAUCACUGCAGAUACAGGUCAGAGGUCAGUGUGUCUCAUUGCUCUGCUGAUAGGGAGACUCACCAGGAACCUGCUCAGCCCUCUUGAACCCUUCCCUUGGCU
ensembl:lncRNA novel transcript, antisense to PLA2G4E